GCAGCCGCGGUAAUACGAAGGGACCUAGCGUAGUUCGGAAUUACUGGGCGUAAAGCGCGCGUAGGCCGUUGAGUUAGUUAAUUGUGAAAUCCCAAAGCUUAACUUUGGAACUGCAAUUAAAACUGCUCGACUAGAGUUUGAUAGAGGAAAGCGGAAUACAUAGUGUAGAGGUGAAAUUCGUAGAUAUUAUGUAGAACACCAGUUGCGAAGGCGGCUUUCUGGACCAACACUGACGCUGAGGCGCGAAAGUAUGGGUAGCAAAGAGGAUUAGAUACCCUCGUAGUCCAUACCAUAAACGAUGAUUGCUAGAUGUUGGAAAUUUAUUUUCAGUAUCGCAGCUAACGUAUUAAGCAAUCCGCCUGGGGAGUACGACCGCAAGGUUAAAACUCAAAUGAAUUGACGGGGACCCGCACAAGCGGUGGAGCAUGUGGUUUAAUUCGAAGAUACGCGCAGAACCUUACCAACCCUUGACAUGUCUGUCGCGAGUUUAGGAAACUAGACUUUUCGGUUCGGCCGGACAGAACACAGGUGCUGCAUGGCUGUCGUCAGC
rnacentral:rRNA from 1 species